rnacentral:rRNA from 1 species
UACGAAGGGGGCUAGCGUUGCUCGGAAUUACUGGGCGUAAAGCGCACGUAGGCGGAUUCGUAAGUCAGGGGUGAAAUCCCGGGGCUCAACCUCGGAACUGCCUUUGAUACUGCGGGUCUUGAGUCCGAUAGAGGUGGGUGGAAUUCCUAGUGUAGAGGUGAAAUUCGUAGAUAUUAGGAAGAACACCGGUGGCGAAGGCGGCCCACUGGAUCGGUACUGACGCUGAGGUGCGAAAGCGUGGGGAGCAAACAGG